UACGGAGGAUCCAAGCGUUAUCCGGAUUCAUUGGGUUUAAAGGGUGCGUAGGCGGAAUGAUAAGUCAGUGGUGAAAUCCUGCAGCUUAACUGCAGAACUGCCAUUGAUACUGUCAAUCUUGAGUACAUUUGAUGAGGGCGGAAUGUGUCAUGUAGCGGUGAAAUGCUUAGAUAUGACACAGAACACCGAUUGCGAAGGCAGCUCUCAAAAACUGUAACUGACGCUGAGGCACGAAAGCGUGGGUAUCAAACAGG
rnacentral:rRNA from 1 species